rnacentral:rRNA from 1 species
GACGAACGCUGGCGGCGUGCCUAAUACAUGCAAGUAGAACGCACAGUUUAUACCGUAGCUUGCUACACCAUAGACUGUGAGUUGCGAACGGGUGAGUAACGCGUAGGUAACCUGCCUGGUAGCGGGGGAUAACUAUUGGAAACGAUAGCUAAUACCGCAUAAUAUUGAUUAUUGCAUGAUAAUUGAUUGAAAGAUGCUAUUGCAUCACUACCAGAUGGACCUGCGUUGUAUUAGCUAGUAGGUGAGGUAACGGCUCACCUAGGCGACGAUACAUAGCCGACCGGAGAGGGUGAUCGGCCACCCUGGGACUGGGCCACGGCCCAGACUCCUACGGGAGGCAGCAGUAGGGAAUCUUCGGCAAUGGACGAAAGUCUGACCGAGCAACGCCGCGUGAGUGAAGAAGGUUUUGGGAUCGUAAAGCUCUGUUUUAAGGGAAGAACGGGUGUGGGAGUGGAAAGUCCCCACUGGGGCGGUAUUUUACCAGAAAGGGCCGGCUAACUACGU